AGGCUGCAACUCGCCUGCAUGAAGUUGGAAUUGCUGUAAUCGCGAAUCAGAAUGUCGCGGUGAAUACGUUCCCGGGCCUUGUACACACCGCCCGUCACACCAUGAGAGUCGAUAACACCCGAAGCCUGUGAGCUAACUGUAAAGAGGCAGCAGUCGAAGGUAGAGCCAAUGAUUGGGGUGAAGUCGUAACAAGGUAAC
rnacentral:rRNA from 1 species